UACGGGGGGAGCAAGCGUUGUUCGGAUUUACUGGGCGUAAAGGGCGCGUAGGCGGCCACCGCAAGUCGGUUGUGAAAUCUCUGGGCUUAACCCAGAAAGGUCAACCGAUACUGCGGGGCUAGAGUGCAGAAGGGGCAACUGGAAUUCUCGGUGUAGCGGUGAAAUGCGUAGAUAUCGAGAGGAACACCUGCGGCGAAGGCGGGUUGCUGGGCUGACACUGACGCUGAGGCGCGAAAGCGUGGGGAGCAAACAGG
rnacentral:rRNA from 1 species